rnacentral:rRNA from 1 species
AGUGAACGCUGGCGGCAGGCCUAACACAUGCAAGUCGAACGGCAGCACAGCAGUAGCAAUACUGUGGGUGGCGAGUGGCGGACGGGUGAGGAAUACAUCGGAAUCUGUCUAGUCGUGGGGGAUAACGUAGGGAAACUUACGCUAAUACCGCAUACGACCUACGGGUGAAAGCGGGGGAUCGCAAGACCUCGCGCGAUUAGAUGAGCCGAUGUCCGAUUAGCUAGUUGGCGGGGUAAUGGCCCACCAAGGCGACGAUCGGUAGCUGGUCUGAGAGGAUGAUCAGCCACACUGGAACUGAGACACGGUCCAGACUCCUACGGGAGGCAGCAGUGGGGAAUAUUGGACAAUGGGCGCAAGCCUGAUCCAGCCAUGCCGCGUGGGUGAAGAAGGCCUCGG